UACAGAGGGUGCAAGCGUUAAUCGGAAUUACUGGGCGUAAAGGGUGUGUAGGUGGUUUAAAAAGUUGGGUGUGAAAGUCCUGGGCUUAACCUGGGGACUGCGCUCAAUACUGUUAAGCUAGAGUACUGUAGAGGAAGGUGGAAUUUCCAGUGUAGCGGUGAAAUGCGUAGAUAUUGGAAGGAACAUCAGUGGCGAAGGCGACCUUCUGGACAGAUACUGACACUGAGGCACGAAAGCGUGGGGAGCAAACAGG
rnacentral:rRNA from 1 species